rfam:Oryza meridionalis cultivar OR44 (W2112) chromosome 6, whole genome shotgun sequence.
CCUAAAAUAAGUUUUGCAUCGUUCAUGUCUCAUGUUUGAUCAUUCGUCUUAUUUGAAAUUCUUUUAUGAUUAAUAUUUUUAUUGUUAUUAGAUGAUAAAACAUAAAUAGUAAUUUAUGUGUGAUUAACUUAUUUUAAUUUUCGCAUAAAUUUUUCAAAUAAGACGGACGGUCAAACGUUGGACAUGGAUUCUCACGGUGCACUUAUU